rnacentral:tRNA from 1 species
GUUGGGGUGGCAGAGCUCGGUAAUUGCAAAAGACCUAAGUCCUUUGAACAGAGGUUCAAAUCCUCUCCUCAACU